UCAAUUUUCGCCUUAUUGUUCCCGCCUACUCUAUCGUUCUUCACUUCUUCCUUCUCCGAUCCAUGGCCAAAUUCGAAUCACGAUUUGUGAAGAUUUUUAUUCUUCCUAUUGUAUCGUUUCUGUUUCUCUGAAUCAAGUUUUGUGAAGCUUUUCAUUCAUUUUCUUCAUUCGCUUUGGUUUAUCUGUUCAAAUAGUGGUCCUCUGCAUUUUGAACCUUGGCAAAGAGAACGGAGGCAAUGUUGAGCGAGUAUCUUAUCUUCGUCAAUUCCAUUGGUGGCGGACAAUUUUGGUAACGUUUUUCGAGCUUUAUUUUAAGCCAAUCCGCGAAUUUCUUUGCUGUACUCUGCUAAUUGUGCAGUCAAUGGCGGCAAUAGUUUUAAUAUACUAAACUGUGCUUUUGUAGACUAUAUAUAAUGGAAGGAUCAGACGAUCGAAUAAUUAGGGAUUAAGUGCGUUGAUGUUUAGCAGAUGAACAAAAUUCUGCACGAAGCAAAUUAAUAGGUCUCACUUAUUGUACGAAGAGUGAAUUCUCAGCUGUUUUUUGCUCCGAGGAGUUUGUACUUCAAAUCUCGGAAAAGUAAUCACCAUUAGAGACUGCUGAAUUUGUUUCAUCUCUGACUUGUUGAACUUUUGAUUUUGCAUUGUAUACAAGCUGGAAUUUGAAUGUUUGAGGUUUCUGCGGGAACAGUUGCGCUUCAUGAACUGGCGUCUGAUCCUCCACUGAUCGCAGGUUUUGUUCAAUAACUCCGAGUUUUGCUUUCCGCUAAUAUUCCCCUGCUCAACCGGAGAGGAAAGUUCUCGUCAAAUAUGAUCAGGUUUGGUCCUGCUGGAGUACUUUAAUGGAGGGGACCUUAUGAGCUAUAGAAAUCGAGCAUGCGAUGUCAGGUGUGUUGGUUGAAAUUUGGAGUCGCACGUUAUACCAAUCAGUAUGUUUUCUCAAUGGUGCUGUUUAGGUAAGCCUUCCUUGUCUCCUUUCCCUUGUCAUUAUCAUGUCUUCUUUUCUUCCCUAUUUAUUCGUUUCAUUUUUAUAUAAUCCUUUAUAUAUAUAUAUAUAUAUAUUUGUUUGUGACAACUAGCAAGAAAGCAUU